rnacentral:rRNA from 1 species
UGGAUACCGGUUCAAGCGUGUAGGGAGACUCUUUAGGAGGCCUAGUGCCACAAACGGAGAGUCAAUCCUGAGACGUGAUGAGGAGAGCGCUUGCGCUCACAAACUCGAUGAUCCUCAGCUCCCAAGAAAAGCUUCGGUAGAGUUAACCGCUGAUGUGACCGUACCGCAAACCAACACAGGUGGGCGGGGAGAAGAUCCCAAGGCGCUUGAGAGAACUCUGCCUAAGGAACUUUGCAAAAUGACACCGUAACUUCGGGAGAAGGUGUGCCCUCAUUACGUGAACCUGCACAAGGGGAGCGGAAGGGGGUUGCAGAGAAUCGGGGGUAGCGACUGUUUACCAAAAACACAGCACUCUGCGAAGUCGCAAGACGACGUAUAGGGUGUGAUGCCUGCCCGGUGCUGGAAGGUUAAAGAGAGGACUCAGCCGCAAGGCAAAGGUCCGAACUGAAGCCCCAGUAAACGGCGGCCGUAACAAUAACGGUCCUAAGGUAGCGAAAUUCCUUGUCGGGUAAGUUCCGACCUGCACGAAUGGCAUAACGACUUCCCCACUGUCUCGGGCAGAGACUCAGCGAAGUAGCACUAGGGGUGAAGAUACCCUUUACCCACGACAGGACGGAAAGACCCCGUGAACCUUCACUACAGCUUGACAUUGUUUGACGGAAAGAUUUGCGUAGGAUAGGUGGGAGGCUAUGAAGCAGGGAUUCCGGUCCUUGCAGAGCGAACGUUGAAAUACCACCCUGAUUUUUCUGGCAAACUAACCUACACCCGUGAGCCGGGUGGGGGACACUGUCUGGUGGGUAGUUUGACUGGGGCGGUCGCCUCCCAAAAAGUAACGGAGGCGCGCGAAGGUCCCCUCAGCCUGAUUGGAAACCAGGCGCCGAGUGUAAACACAUAAGGGGGCUUGACUGCGAGUCCGACGAGACGAGCAGGUACGAAAGUAGGUGUUAGUGAUCCGGUGGCUCCACAUGGAAGGGCCAUCGCUCAACGGAUAAAAGGUACUCCGGGGAUAACAGGCUUAUCACGUCCAAGAGUUCACAUCGACGACGUGGUUUGGCACCUCGAUGUCGGCUCAUCGCAUCCUGGGGCUGAAAUCGGUCCCAAGGGUUUAGCUGUUCGCUAAUUAAAGCGGUACGCGAGCUGGGUUCAGAACGUCGUGAGACAGUUCGGUCCCUAUCCGUCGUGGGCGCAGGACGCUUGAGAGGAGCUGACUUUAGUACGAGAGGACCGAGUUGGACGAACCGAUGGUGUUCCGGUUGUGGCGCCAGCCGCAUUGCCGGGUAGCUAUGUUCGGAAGGGAUAACCGCUGAAAGCAUCUAAGCGGGAAGCCCACCUCAAGAUAAGGCGUCCCGAGCCGUAAGGCUCCUGAAGACCCCACGUAGACUACGUGGUUGAUAGGCUGGGUGUGGAAACACAGCAAUGUGUGGAGCUAACCAGUACUAAUCGGUCGUGCGGCUUGAUCAC